UGCCCCAUGGCUGAGUUGGUUACAGCGUCCGACUGUUAUUUCGGGUGUACCGGACUAUAUCAAUCGGAAGGUCGUGAGUUCGAGCCUCACUGGGGCAG